AUGAUGGAGAUCAGGAUUGCCUGGCUUUGGCAGGUUCUGGGGGCCCAGAUCCUAGGUGCCAGGGGCCCUGAUGGGGCAUUACCUGUGCCGUCCAUUUGUAAGGCAAGAGGAGUGUCUUGGUGCUCACAGCAGCAUCUGUGAGUUUUUAUACAUGAUAAGCAGGCAAGCGGUUCAUCUGGGGAUCUGCUUCGCUGGUGGGCGGGGCUUCUGUCAUCCAAGCAGCAAGCAUUUGAGGAUGGAUUUGCAGAGCCGAGGAAUCAACGCUUCGCCGAUCUCGGCCCAGAGAAUCACAGAGUUUAAUUAUCCAGGCCCCCAGCUCGGGUCCCAGGCUCAGCAACAGAAGGAAGAAGGCCUCAUGGAUGGUGGGAAGCAGGUGCUUCCCUGGGGCCAGUGACCUCACAUCCUCGCCUCCCAGAACAGAUGACCUGCCUCUCAUCACGUGCUACCCCUGCAAUGGGAGCUCCCAGCCUCCACCUGAACUCCACCUGGGGCCCAUCUUACCCUGGCUCCAUCCUGCCUCAUGUCAGACCUCGUACCACCCACCCAUCACCCCAUCCCAGGUCUGUGACAGGGGAUGAGAGGCAGCAGGAGAGCUGUGUGCCCUCACCCAUGACCUCUGUCCUCUGUCACCACUGUGCACUUUGGAGGUUGCACUGGCACAAGGUGGGAGCUGAUGGUGGUGCCGGGCAGGUCCUUGAUGCCCCUGGGCCAGUCCGCCCCAGGGAGCACUAGGGAUUGAAUAAAUAUCUGCCGUGUUUAUUAAAAAAUAAAUUUGGUAAGUAACGGAAGUGUUGUUUCUAUACAUAGAAAAAAGGUUUAAAAUAAAAACCAAAACAGU